AAGAAGGAGAUUAUAAACAACAUCAAAAGGGACAUGAGUUGUUUUGUCUCUCAUUUGAACAAUCUUUCCCUUCUCUCUCUUUAAUCUUUCUUCUUCUUCUUCUUCUUCUUUUUC
rnacentral:ribozyme from 13 species